GACGAACGCUGGCGGCGUGCCUAACACAUGCAAGUCGAGCGGAGUAUAUAAAGUAGCUUGCUACAUGAUAUACUUAGCGGCGGACGGGUGAGUAACGCGUGGGAAACCUGCCUUGUAGAGGGGGAUAGCCUCGGGAAACCGGGAUUAAUACCCCAUAAAACUCUAAUACUGCAUGGUAUGUGAGUCAAAGCAUUAGUGCUACAAGAUGGUCCCGCGUCCCAUUAGCUAGUUGGUGAGAUAACAGCCCACCAAGGCGACGAUGGGUAGCCGACCUGAGAGGGUGAUCGGCCACACUGGGACUGAGACACGGCCCAGACACCUACGGGUGGCAG
rnacentral:rRNA from 1 species